UACGGAGGGAGCUAGCGUUAUUCGGAAUUACUGGGCGUAAAGCGCACGUAGGCGGCUUUGUAAGUAAGAGGUGAAAGCCCAGAGCUCAACUCUGGAAUUGCCUUUUAGACUGCAUCGCUUGAAUCAUGGAGAGGUCAGUGGAAUUCCGAGUGUAGAGGUGAAAUUCGUAGAUAUUCGGAAGAACACCAGUGGCGAAGGGCGGCUGACUGGACAUGUAUUGACGCUGAGGUGCGAAAGCGUGGGGAGCAAACAGG
rnacentral:rRNA from 1 species